rnacentral:lncRNA from 1 species
UAGACGUGUCUUUCCUGGAUUUAUCACAGGAGAAGAUGGGAAAGCAGCAAGUAAAAACUGAAAGGCGUCACUAAAAGUGCUGUAAGACAUCGAAGCCUAGUGUACCACACAGAGGACAGAAGGAUAUGUGUAACCACUUUUUUUCUUACAGGGCUAGGCAUCAGUGGAAGCUUAUGAAGGACAUGGCAAUGGCCAGGAAACACUUCACUAUGGCACAGAAAAAAUGUGCUUCCAGGGAGUAUAAUAGGAAUGAUCGGGAAGGAUGUUAACAGUGGAAGGAGAGCAAGAAAAUGGAAACAUGUUCUUCUACGAACUGUGGAACAAGGAGGGAUCUCAGAAGACGUGUAGUAACUUCUUUUAAUAACUACCUGUGUCACUUUGGGCAAGUUGCUUAUCCUCCUUAAACUUCAAUUCUCAAGUUUUCAAAAUAAUAAUAAUACCUCACAGAGUUUCUGUGCAGAAAAAAUAAGAUAACCUAUGUCAGUAUUUUUCCUGGAACAAAAUAAGAGUUCAUUAUAUGUUAGCCUAUAACAUUUAACACUAUGAUACUACUAGC